AGAGCGAACGCUGGCGGCAGGCUUAACACAUGCAAGUCGAACGGACCUUUCGGGGUUAGUGGCGGACGGGUGAGUAACACGUGGGAACGUGCCCUUAGGUUCGGAACAACACAGGGAAACUUGUGCUAAUACCGGAUGUGCCUUUUUAGGGAAAGAUUUAUCGCCUUUGGAGCGGCCCGCGUCUGAUUAGCUUGUUGGUGGGGUAAAGGCUCACCAAGGCUACGAUCAGUAGCUGGUCUGAGAGGAUGGCCAGCCACACUGGGACUGAGACACGGCCCAGACUCCUACGGGAGGCAGCAGUGGGGAAUCUUGCGCAAUGGGCGAAAGCCUGACGCAGCCAUGCCGCGUGGAUGAUGAAGGUCUUAGGAUUGUAAAAUCCUUUCAGCGGGGACGAUAAUGACGGUACCCGCAGAAGAAGCCCCGGCUAACUUCGUGCCAGCAGCCGC
rnacentral:rRNA from 1 species